UAUAUCAUAAAAUAGUGGUACUUCUUAUUAUCCAAUUUUACUUUGAUAAUAUAAGUGGUACAAUAUAUAAAGAUAUAGAUGAGCAAAAUAUUACUUAAGAAAAUGUAUUAAUCUUAGUAUAGCCUAGAUGCUUUUCUUUUACAUUUUGCCUGAAUUACAAUACACACAUUCAAUGGGUUUGGUUUUCAUGGAGGUCCUUCACACCCUCCAUUUUAUUCUAUCUCCUCCAUCAAGUCUACUUUUCUGUGUCACUUCCACUUUCAUUUUGUUCGCCUCCACUUUGUGCACCUACUUCACCACCAUAACCUUGUGAGCCCUCUCCAACUUUUUUGCUUCUUCGUUUUUUAAUUUUUCUAAAGCCAUUCCAGGUGGUCCAAGGUUUUCGUAUAUCGUACACAACUUUUAUUUUGAAGUCUUUUAUUGCACCA
rnacentral:lncRNA from 1 species